GGAACCAUCAAGAUGGAACGGAUACAGUCUCCAAAGAGAUUUUCAGUUUCCUGGAGGGUAUGGAGAGGAGGACUAUGCUGAAGUUGGAAAGGAUGCACGAGGACCUAAGAAAUGGCAAUGGUAGAGUCAUGGAGGCUGUGGAGUCCAGCAGCUGGUUGCACCAGCAGAACGUAAGGUCCCACUAAGGCUACGUUGAACGUAAAUCACCCAAACGUUCGACUUUACACUCUACUAAAAAAAUAGCAGUUGCACCAAGCAGAUAGUUUCAACGUAACACUAAGUUAUAACUUAUCUUUUACACCUCCCAUCUAGCUGGUGUAAGUUCCAUACUAACGAUAAAGAACCGUUAAAAGAAAAAAACGUAAAAAGAUUUCAACACUAAUGCAGGGUAAAGAUGGCUAUUCGUUUUGAGCAAUGGGAAGAGGAGUUUAAACGCGGUUUGCGCCGGGAACGGAUUGUCCGUGACCGUAUCGAUCCAUUUCUUUAUUAUGAUGUUGAAUUAUAUGCGCGAUUUCGGUUUUGCCGGGCGGAAUAUUAUAUUUAUUUAUUUAUUAUAAAAUCCGCCAUCAAAUAGCUUAACCUCACGCCUAUACCGUCCAAGCAAAUUUUAGAGAAUAAAUGACAAAACUGUUUUGUUUGCCCUCUCAUUUGGGUGCUAACCCGUCUUCACUCGGAUAAGGUGGAAGUUUGAUGGUAUUUCCUGUUUACAUUGUUACCUGUCAAUGAUUCGCUUGAAAUGAUCUAAAUGUCAUUAAAAGCGACACUAGUACAAUUUACGCACUACCAGUAACGUUACAACUUAAGUUAUGGUGGUGCAACCAAAAUUUAGAACACCUUUAGUUUGACACUAGCUACGUCGAGCGUAGGGUUACGGCGGAGUUUACACCUGAACUUACGAUUGGCUUUACGUUCUGCUGGUGCAACCGACUGCAGGCCAGGAAGGACAUCUGAGGCAGCUGAAGAGGACAUGUUAGAGGGUCCAUGUCAAAACCUCGCAGACUUGGAGGACCUCUGCAAAAAGAUUGCAGACCGCUCUUUUAAAAAGAAAAUGAUUCGGCACCUGAGCCUUCUUGGAGGCAGCAAUGUCGGGGAUGGGGUUCGAAGGAUGCUGAAAAAAAUCGGCACUAAUGAGCUGUGGAAGGGGUUCAGUUUAAAGGGGAGAAAGGGGAAGAGACCCUUCCACAGUUUAUUUUUUUAUUUUAUAUUUAUGACGUGGUGAUACGU
rnacentral:lncRNA from 1 species